UACGUAGGGCGCAAGCGUUGUCCGGAAUUAUUGGGCGUAAAGAGCUCGUAGGCGGCUUGUCACGUCGGGUGUGAAAGCCCGGGGCUUAACCCCGGGUCUGCAUUCGAUACGGGCUAGCUAGAGUGUGGUAGGGGAGAUCGGAAUUCCUGGUGUAGCGGUGAAAUGCGCAGAUAUCAGGAGGAACACCGAUGGCGAAGGCAGGUCUCUGGGCUGGAACUGACGCUGAGGAGCGAAAGCAUGGGGAGCGAACAGG
rnacentral:rRNA from 1 species